CAGUUUCGUUGCCGACCACUCGCUGGUUCUCAGUCUCAACUUCUGCGGUGGCCUCUCUGUCUAGAUUGUGAGGUGACGUCUCCUUCUCCGUGACAAUGUCAGCGGACCGUGACCGGGCCACGAUAGUGGUGCGGACCUCGUCCCAAUAAAGAUCAAGUGGUUCAGAGCAUAAGCCUCUUCUGUUCCACACACAGCCUGUUCACUCGGUAAAAAUAUACAUCUAAUCAAUCUUCACUCAGUGAUCUCUUUUCUGGAUGUGCUCCCAACCCCGUCUUCAGCUGUGCCCAGUUGCCCUGAGACCAUAUCCUGCCUGGUUCAACUUCUCUAUAGAGUAGAAGAAUCUGGCUACACAAGCCAGUAACACAACUUGCUGUUGUCUUCAUCUGAGGUCACGAAACCGUCCCCGAGGGAUCUGAGUCCUGCCUGAAUGAAGCUAUGCCAGCCAGCCGUCACCAGUUACCACUGUGCAUGGGAGGACUUCAAUGCACACCUCAGGAUGCUUGGUUAUACCCAUUCUCUGUCCUUUCCCCUCUGCCUUCAGUGAUUAAGGGCAACCCUAUUGCCCUCAGAUCUGGCUUCUGAACCUGGGAAAUUAACCAACAGGUAGGUUUAUGGAUUCACUGGACCCAUGUGAGAGCCAAAAUGUCAUUAAUUACCCAAGCUCCAAUAGCCACUACUGAAGAACCACCGUGGUAGAGAACAGCCACUACAAAGCCCUUGAAGGAUUCGGUUUUCCCCACAUGGACAUAUUUUCAAAGCCUUGGUGCAUGGCAAAGGAUUCAUAGUUAAGGGGUAUCUGAGCAGUGUGUACACAAUAAUUCCUAUCCCCCAAAGCUUUUGCAUGCCUUUCCCUACAGUCCACGGAGGAUGUUCUGGCAUCACAUUUUCACUUAAUGGGUGAAACUGUUGGAUCUACCUUUCAGUCAAAGAGCCAAGCAGGUUUUUAAGGCCACAUGUGCUGCUGAAGUUAAUACACUGACACCAGAGUUUCUAGUUGGUACAUGCAUGUCAAUACAUUCAGACUAGACCAACCCAGUAUUCUUUCCACAUUGGCCUACCAAAGUUAGGAUUCAUUUCCAUACAUAUUAUUUAUGUUUUAGCCAAUACAAAUUUUCAAAAUCUUGCAACUUGAUAUCUAUGAUGCUCCUCUCAGAUCAUUUUUGAACCUCUCUCCUUGGAACCAGUUAAUAUUAAAUUCUG